rnacentral:rRNA from 1 species
AGUCUGACGGAGCAACGCCGCGUGAGUGAUGAAGGUUUUCGGAUCGUAAAGCUCUGUUGUUAGGGAAGAACAAGUGCAAGAGUAACUGCUUGCACCUUGACGGUACCUAACCAGAAAGCCACGGCUAACUACGUGCCAGCAGCCGCGGUAAUACGUAGGUGGCAAGCGUUGUCCGGAAUUAUUGGGCGUAAAGGGCUCGCAGGCGGUUUCUUAAGUCUGAUGUGAAAGCCCCCGGCUCAACCGGGGAGGGUCAUUGGAAACUGGGAAACUUGAGUGCAGAAGAGGAGAGUGGAAUUCCACGUGUAGCGGUGAAAUGCGUAGAGAUGUGGAGGAACACCAGUGGCGAAGGCGACUCUCUGGUCUGUAACUGACGCUGAGGAGCGAAAGCGUGGGGAGCGAACAGGAUUAGAUACCCUGGUAGUCCACGCCGUAAACGAUGAGUGCUAAGUGUUAGGGGGUUUCCGCCCCUUAGUGCUGCAGCUAACGCAUUAAGCACUCCGCCUGGGGAGUACGGUCGCAAGACUGAAACUCAAAGGAAUUGACGGGGGCCCGCACAAGCGGUGGAGCAUGUGGUUUAAUUCGAAGCAACGCGAAGAACCUUACCAGGUCUUGACAUCCUCUGACAACCCUAGAGA